GACGAACGCUGGCGGCGUGCUUAACACAUGCAAGUCGAACGAAGUGGCGAACGGGUGAGUAACGCGUAAUCAACCUGCCCUUCAGAGGGGGACAACAGUUGGAAACGACUGCUAAUACCGCAUACUGAAGGAGGGGAUUGCGUCUGAUUAGCUAGUUGGAGGGGUAACGGCCCACCAUGGCGAUGAUCAGUAGCCGGGCGGAUAGGAUGAACGGCGACAUUGGGACUGAGACACGGCCCAGAAGCGGACGGGAGGAAGCAGUGGGGAAGCGUCCGCAAUGGACGAAAGUCUGACGGAGAAACGCCGCGUGAGUGAUGACGGCCGUCGGGUGGUAAAGCUCUGUUAAGCGGGACGCGGUACCGGAAUAGAAAGCCACGGCUAACUACGUGCCAGCAGCCGCGGGAUUC
rnacentral:rRNA from 1 species